rnacentral:lncRNA from 1 species
GUAAUAUGCAAACAGACUCUCAAAGGAUACACCCGGAUAGUACAAACUUGCUCCUUUCGCCACUGCUCUUGCCAUAUGCUCGAAUUCAGCUGAGGCAUCCUUCAAGGCCGGUUUAAUCAUCUGUUCCAUCAGAGUUAAUUCGGUAGUGACGGCACAGGUCCCUUGUGAGGUCCAAAUUGUCGUCGUCGCAAAAGUUAAAACGGUCUUCAAUGCCAAAAAUGGAUGAAUCCCCGCAGUUCGUCGUCAGUAGCGUAGGUGGCACCGAAUUUGUGUGGAAAGAGAACAAUUACCCCAACGAAAGCGAAUUGAGAAUCGGCCAUGUCGAAUUGAUUGAAGUAGACGUAAGGAUCUUCCUGAUUAUUGCUGUUGACUUGACGUCUCAUUUCGACGUACGGACAUCCGGCCAACUUUUGAGUGUCCAUUUGAAGACAUGGUAGCAUUGAAGGAUCAUCGAAAGGUUGACCACAUUCAGCCAUCGCCGUGUUGUCAACUUGCGGCCGUCGAUCAGGAUGAUUGAUUUGGCGAGAUGCGUGAUCGUGCAUAUUACGCACCAUCUGGAUGGAUCGUCGAGCUGGAUCAUCCUUCUGCCACACGUCUCCAAAAUACCAGGACGUUAUGUGAACAACCGUUCCAAUGUAGCGUUUGAAAGAUUUCAAGACAGUCUCGGAUUUUUGCGUGAAAAUGAGCGGCUAAUUAAAGAUAAGGAGACCAAAUGUCAUUGCUGGAGGUCAAAGUAUCUGGUAUCGAGCGGUGUACCCAAUGCCAUUGAACAUUUAAAUUGCGACAAUGGCUGCUAUUAAACUACCGACACCUCUACCCGGUGCUUAGCAACAAACGAAGAAUUCGCGCAUCACCUCACGCACAUUAGUGUCCUUAUUUCUCCGUAUGUUCAGCAGCUACGUACGGGAUCGGCAGAGCUCGUUCCGUUGUUCUUGGGAUGGCGGCAGAGGGGAACCAUAUAUAGUCAACUGACCUGUGUAAACUCAGCCUAAUGUUACGUAGGUCGUGCUUAAAUACGAGCUGAUGCGUAAACAAGCUUAAACGGAUUUGUUUGAUAAGAUUGCUUUUAGGAAAGUGAACGAUUAUAAAUUUUUAUGUUUAAUGAUAACACAGUUUUGAAGAAAGAAAAAAAAAAUUAAAAGAAGACAAUGUCCGUGGAUGAAAAAAGCAUUUUAGUUUUAUUAAAAGCUGAUGCUACACGUGGCUGGUGCUGUGAAGUCAACAGCAGUGGAGCAGCGUGACCUCAUUUGUCAUCAGCCGUACCGUGACUUUGGAGAGGAGAAGAAAAGGAGGAGAUAGAAGCUAAAAUAAUAAAAUUCUCCUCUGCUCGGGGGACUACAAGUCCGUGUGCGUACGGUGUUAGUAGGUGAAACAGGUUGGGGCUACAUAUGGCCACACUAUGUACAGGUUACACACGUGACACGUGGCAGAGGACAUUAGACGACAACCAAAACUCAACAGAGAAGUCUUUUAACGUGUACUGCUUAUGAAUGGUAACUUGUACAAACAAAUGCUGGGCAUUGGGUAUGCGUUACACUAAAGUCAUGUAGACAGUCCUUGUUUCACUUAAUUUUUGACUUUCGGGUGAAGUGCAGGUCAUUGACCCCAAAUGUCUUGUGUGACGUAUCGUUUCUUGUCUUAACGGAGCAUAUGAAGUACUGACCAAUUCCCUCCCACAAUCCAAAGAAAGAAAAGCCAUGGUCAGGACUUUGUGUGUUAUCUUGUGACGAGUCAUUAUCAUUCUCCAGAGGCGCGGCCCUUGCGGAACUAAAUAACAUCCGAAUUGAUGUGUCAACUAGCAUUUUACGACACAUGUUCUCACAGCUCGUUGGGCGAAUUGGUAGCAUUAUUGAAGGGGACAAAGGGCUACAUCUUUGCAUUUUGGCAAUCAGCGGGAUACUCGCGAAUUCGCUGAAUUGAUUUGAAAAGGAUUUUAACAACAAUGCAUCGGUUAUGUUGGAUUUUACUUUGUUUGAAACUUUGAAACCUGUUAAAGGAAACUCCUUAUUAGCUGCUGGUGGAUUCCUUAUUAGGCUUUACACGUGUCUUCGGUAGAAAGCGAAGUCAAGUUCACGGAAUUGGUCUCGUUCAGUCACGCCUGGGGCAAAAUAUGAACGAUAUUUUCCCUCAACCCAUUUUUCAUAACUCUUUUUUCCUAGUUACCUAGUAACCCGGUUAAAAUGAUUCCACAAAGAGAGAAAGAAAACCUUUUUAAAUUU